CAGCAUUGUCUAGCUUGCUAGACAGAUGGCGAGUGGCGAACGGGUGAGUAACGCGUAGGAAUAUGCCUUGAAGAGGGGGACAACUUGGGGAAACUCAAGCUAAUACCGCAUAAUGUCUGAGGACGAAAGCUGGGGACCUUCGGGCCUGGCGCUUUAAGAUUAGCCUGCGUCCGAUUAGCUAGUUGGUGGGGUAAGGGCCUACCAAGGCGACGAUCGGUAGCUGGUCUGAGAGGAUGACCAGCCACACUGGAACUGAGACACGGUCCAGACUCCUACGGGAGGCAGCAGUGGGGAAUAUUGGACAAUGGGGGCAACCCUGAUCCAGCAAUGCCGCGUGUGUGAAGAAGGCCUGAGGGUUGUAAAGCACUUUCAGUGGGGAGGAGGGUUGAUAGGUUAAGAGCUGAUUAACUGGACGUUACCCACAGAAGAAGCACCGGCUAACUCCGUGCCAGCAGCCGCGGUAAUACGGAGGGUGCGAGCGUUAAUCGGAAUUACUGGGCGUAAAGGGUGCGUAGGUGGUUGAUUAAGUUAUCUGUGAAAUUCCUGGGCUUAACCUGGGACGGUCAGAUAAUACUGGUUGACUCGAGUAUGGGAGAGGGUAGUGGAAUUUCCGGUGUAGCGGUGAAAUGCGUAGAGAUCGGAAGGAACACCAGUGGCGAAGGCGGCUACCUGGCCUAAUACUGACACUGAGGCACGAAAGCGUG
rnacentral:rRNA from 1 species